UACGUAGGGGGCCAGCGUUGUUCGGAAUUACUGGGUGUAAAGGGUUCGUAGGCGGUGCGGCAAGUUGGGAGUGAAAUCUCUGGGCUUAACCCAGAGACGGCUUCCAAAACUGCUGUGCUUGAGUGCAGGAGAGAAGAGUGGAAUUCCACGUGUAGCGGUGAAAUGCGUAGAGAUGUGGAGGAACACCAGUGGCGAAGGCGGUUCUCUGGGCCUUACCUGACGCUGAGGAGCGAAAGCGUGGGGAGCGAACAGG
rnacentral:rRNA from 1 species